GACGAACGCUGGCGGCGUGCCUAAUACAUGCAAGUCGAGCGGACUUUCAAGAAGCUUGCUUUUGAAAGUUAGCGGCGGACGGGUGAGUAACACGUGGGCAACCUGCCUGUAAGACGGGGAUAACUCCGGGAAACCGGGGCUAAUACCGGAUAAUAUCUUUCUUCGCAUGAAGGAAGGUUGAAAGGCGGCCCAAGCUGCCUCUUGCAGAUGGGCCCGGGGCGCAUUAGCUAGUUGGUGAGGUAACGGCUCACCAAGGCGACGAUGCGUAGCCGACCUGAGAGGGUGAUCGGCCACACUGGGACUGAGACACGGCCCAGACUCCUACGGGAGGCAGCAGUAGGGAGUCUUCCGCAAUGGACGAAAGUCUGACGGAGCAACGCCGCGUGAGCGAAGAAGGUCUUCGGAUCGUAAAGCUCUGUUGUCAGGGAAGAACAAGUACCGUUCGAAUAGGGCGGUACCUUGACGGUACCUGACCAGAAAGCCACGGCUAGCUACGUGCCAGCCGCCGCAGUAA
rnacentral:rRNA from 1 species